rnacentral:lncRNA from 1 species
GCGGUAUGAUUGUCAACGGGAAAACUCUCCACAAGAUAUGUAUUUAUUUGUUUCUUUUUCUUUACUUUACCUUGAUUCGUUUAAUUUUUACUUUAUUGUGUCUUAUCUAGCAUUAUACGAGCUUGAAACGUGAACUGUUUUACUCUAGUCAUUCGAUGGAUACCUUAUACUUACAGUAGCCUGUCCAUGCUGACUAGAAGUUUGUUGGACUAUAUUGUCUUGCUGUAGAAUUAUAAAUGGUAGGUGUCUGUUUUUACAGACUUUACAUUUUUUUAGUUUUUUUUACAAACCAGAUAUUUGGGGUCAUAUAAUACCUCCCGAUGACUUGCACUUAAGAAAAUAUGUAAUACCUGCUGUCUCUACCAUUAACAGAUUGGCCUGAAAAUUACUCCUACCUCCACUCGAUUUUAGCUACUUUUCAUAGUUUUCUUAUUUUGAAGGCAAAUUUUGAACUCCAAGAGAGAGCAUUUAGGUUGUCAUCUAUUUAUAACAACACAUCUGGAAAGGGUUGAAAUGGGGAAUAUGUCCAUGUCCCCGCUUGCAUAUAAAGUUAAAUGGGGACAUAACUCAAGAACUGUAAAGUAACACUAUCUGCAUUUUUUCUUGAUCUGAGUUUUUUGGUACAUGUUAUAAGCAUUUUGUAUACGUUUGAUUAUAUUUAAUUGAGGCAAACUUUAGUUUAGAAUGGAAACAAUAAAAUCAUUAAUUUUC